rnacentral:rRNA from 1 species
GAUGAACGCUGACGGAAUGCUUAACACAUGCAAGUCCACUUGAACUUCGGUUUGGGUGGCGGACGGGUGAGUAACGCGUAAAGAACUUGCCUCACAGUUAGGGACAACAUUUGGAAACGAAUGCUAAUACCUGAUAUUAUGAUUAUAUGGCAUCGUAUAAUUAUGAAAGCUAUAUGCGCUGUGAGAGAGCUUUUCGUCCCAUUAGCUAGUUGGAGAGGUAACGGCUCACAAAGGCGAUGAGGGGUAGCCGGCCUGAGAGGGUGAUCGGCCACAAGGGGACGGAGUAAGGGCCCUUACUCCUACGGGAGGCAGCGGGGGGGAAUAUUGGACAAGGGACCAAGAGUCUGAUCCAGCAAUUCUGUGUGCACGAUGAAGUUUUUCGGAAUGUAAAGUGCUUUCAGUUGGGAAGAAAAAAAUGACGGUACCAACAGAAGAAGUGACGGCUAAAUACGUG